rnacentral:rRNA from 1 species
UACGAAGGGGGCUAGCGUUGCUCGGAAUCACUGGGCGUAAAGGGUGCGUAGGCGGGUCUUUAAGUCAGGGGUGAAAUCCUGGAGCUCAACUCCAGAACUGCCUUUGAUACUGAAGAUCUUGAGUGCGGGAGAGGUGAGGGGAACUGCGAGUGUAGAGGUGAAAUUCGUAGAUAUUCGCAAGAACACCAGUGGCGAAGGCGACUUUCUGGCCUGUUCUUGACGCUGAGGCGCGAAAGCUAGGGGAGCAAACGGG